rnacentral:tRNA from 1 species
AGAGAAAUGACUGAGAGGUUUAUAGUUAUAAAUUGCUAAUUUAUUGUAUAUAAAAAUAUAUACCAAGGGUUCGAAUCCCUUUUUCUCUA